CCAGGAUGUGGAACAGGGCUCUGGGAGAGAGGCAGGAACCAGCUCAGAAGAGCUGCCAGGGCAGGAGGAGGCUAGCAGAGGAGACCUGGGGCCUGAAUGUGACCACCACAGACAAGCUAUCUAAACAGGACAUUUGUUGGCACAACAGCCACACCAUCGACCACCGGCCCUUCCUGUGGGAUUCAAAGGCCCAAGAGAAAGACCCACCAACUAAACAGGUUAGUUCAUAUUUUCCACUGGAAGAGAUGCCCUGGGACAGCUUUUGUGUGGUUCUCUGACCGUUCCCUUAGGACAAGUUCUAAAAAUGGAAUUAGGGUCAAAAGAUACACUUGGUUUUAUAGCCUAAAACAUUUUGAC
rnacentral:lncRNA from 1 species